UUGGAGGGCAAGUCUGGUGCCAGCAGCCGCGGUAAUUCCAGCUCCAAUAGCGUAUAUUAAAGUUGUUGCAGUUAAAAAGCUCGUAGUUGAAUUUCGGGAUCAAUACGUCGGUCGUGCUUUCGGGUACGUACUGGCGUCAUUGGUUUCUCCUUUCUGACGAACCAUGAUGUCAUUAAUUUGGUGUUAUGGGGAGUUAGGACUGUUACUUUGAAAAAAUUAGAGUGUUUAAAGCAGGCAUUAGCUUGAAUACAUUAGCAUGGAAUAAUGAAAUAGGACGUUCGAUCCUAUUUUGUUGGUUUCUAGGAUCAACGUAAUGAUUAAUAGGGAUAGUUGGGGGCAUUAGUAUUCAAUUGUCAGAGGUGAAAUUCUUGGAUUUAUUGAAGACUAACUACUGCGAAAGCGUUUGCCAAGGAUGUUUUCAUUAAUCAAGAACGAAAGUUAGGGGAUCGAAGACGAUCAGAUACCGUCGUAGUCUUAACCAUAAACUAUGCCGACUAGGGAUCGGAUGAUGUUAAUUUUUUAAUGACUCAUUCGGCGCCUUACGGGAAAC
rnacentral:rRNA from 1 species